CGGCGUAAAGAGUGGUUAUGGAAUUUUUUACCCUAAAGCAGAAAACCUCUCAAACUGUUAUACGCACCCAGAGGUUGAAACCCCUUACACGAAAGUGACUUUAUCUUCGCCUACCAGAACCCACGAAAGCUAGGAUACAAACUGGGAUUAGAUACCCCACUAUGCCUAGCCGUAAACUUUAAUGCUAAUGUACAACUAGCAUCCGCCAGGGAACUACGAGCACCAGCUUAAAACCCAAAGGACUUGGCGGUGCCUCAGACCCCCCUAGAGGAGCCUGUUCUAGAACCGAUAACCCCCGUUCAACCUCACCACUCCUUGCCCUUUCCGCCUAUAUACCACCGUCGCCAGCUUACCCUGUGAAGGAAAAGUAAGCGAAAUGGAGACUCUCCAAAACGUCAGGUCGAGGUGUAGCACACGGAGUGGGAAGAAAUGGGCUACAUUGCCUGAUUUAGGCUACUAACGGAAAGUCGCCUGAAAAGACUAUUUGAAGGUGGAUUUAGCAGUAAGAGGGGAAUAGAGUGCCCCUUUGAAGCCGGCUCUGAGGCGCGCACACACCGCCCGUCACUCUCCCCAACAACC
rnacentral:rRNA from 1 species